CGUCGAGGACGAACGCGUGGCGGCGUGCCUAACACAUGCAAGUCGAGCGGAGUGACAAGAGGAAGUUUCGGAUGGAAGUUUGUUAAUUAGCGGCGGACGGGUGAGUAACGCGUGAGCGACCAACCUUGCACAGGGGGAUAACGGACCGAAAGGUUCACUAAUACCGCAUGAGACCACGGUGUUGCAUGACACAGGGGUCAAAGGAGUAAUCCGGUGCAAGACGGGCUCGCGUCCGAUUAGGUAGUUGGAGGGGUAACGGCCCACCAAGCCUAUGAUCGGUAGCCGACCUGAGAGGGUGAUCGGCCACAUUGGAACUGAGAUACGGUCCAAACUCCUACGGGAGGCAGCAGUGGGGAAUAUUGGGCAAUGGGGGGAAAAACCCCUGACCCAGCAACGCCGCGUGAAGGAAGAAGGUUUUCGGAUUGUAAACUUCUGUCCUUGGUGAAGAGAAGAAGACGGUAGCCAAGGAGGAAGCCCCGGCUAACUACGUGCCAGCAGCCGC
rnacentral:rRNA from 1 species